rnacentral:rRNA from 1 species
CAGCUUGUUGGUGAGGUAAUGGCUCACCAAGGCGUCGACGGGUAGCCGGCCUGAGAGGGUGACCGGCCACACUGGGACUGAGACACGGCCCAGACUCCUACGGGAGGCAGCAGUGGGGAAUAUUGCACAAUGGGCGAAAGCCUGAUGCAGCAACGCCGCGUGAGGGAUGACGGCCUUCGGGUUGUAAACCUCUUUUAGCAGGGAAGAAGCGAAAGUGACGGUACCUGCAGAAAAAGCGCCGGCUAACUACGUGCCAGCAGCCGCGGUAAUACGUAGGGCGCAAGCGUUAUCCGGAAUUAUUGGGCGUAAAGAGCUCGUAGGCGGUUUGUCGCGUCUGCUGUGAAAUCCCGAGGCUCAACCUCGGGCCUGCAGUGGGUACGGGCAGACUAGAGUGCGGUAGGGGAGAUUGGAAUUCCUGGUGUAGCGGUGGAAUGCGCAGAUAUCAGGAGGAACACCGAUGGCGAAGGCAGAUCUCUGGGCCGUAACUGACGCUGAGGAGCGAAAGGGUGGGGAGCAAACAGGCUUAGAUACCCUGGUAGUCCACCCCGU